UCGGGUGACGGGGAAUCAGGGUUCGAUUCCGGAGAGGGAGCCUGAGAAACGGCUACCACAUCCAAGGAAGGCAGCAAGCACGCAAAUUACCCACUCCAGGCCCGGGGAGGUAGUGACGAAAAAUAACGAUACGGGACUCUUUCGAGACCCCGUGAUCGGAAUGAUCGCAAGGUAAAGAGUGUUCGAAAGGAACGAUUGGAGGACAAGUCUGGUGCCAGCAGAUGCAAUAACUCCAGCUCCGAUAGCGUAAGCUAAAUUUGUAGCGGAUGAAAAACUCGUAGUCGGAUCUCAGCCCGGGACGGUGGGGCGCGUCAGCGCUCCUUUCGGUCUCGUGGGCUCUGGCCGUUUUCCGAACCGCGAUCUUAACCGGUAGUGGCGCGGGGUCCGGUCAGUUUACCUUGAAGAAACUGAAGUGCUCAAAGCAGGCCUGUCGCCCGUACAAGGAUGCAUGGAAUAAUGCAAGAGGACCUCGGUUCUAUUGUGUUGGUUUUCGGAACCGGAGGUAAUGAUCGAUAGGAACAGACGGGGGCAUUCGUACUGAGACGCUAGAGGUGAAAUUCUUGGACCGUCGCAUGGACGAACUACUGCGAAAGCAUUUGCCAAGAAUGUUUUCAUUAAACAAGAAUAAAA